AGUAAGCUUGGAAGUAGCUAUCUUUUAAUGAAAGUGUAACAACUCAAUAGUCUAAUGGAUAAAAGGCAUCGAAGAUUAACGGGUCUGAAAUAUUUAACCUACAUUAUGAUAUGUAUACAUUUCUAUUUCUAAUAUAGAAAUGUAUAUGUAGGUAGCAGAACACUUAGUAUGAGAGUGAAGAAGUGUAUAAAUACAUUUUGGACUAUACUAAAGAGAGAAUGCUGGCAUGAGUAACGAUUAAGAAGUUAAAAUACUUCUCGCCGAACACGAAAGGGUUUUAUGGAAAAGGUAAUCUGCCAUAAUUUAUACGGUUUCUAAGGAAAAUAAACGAAUUGUUAUUUUCUGAUGAAGAAUAGAAAUCAUAGAGAAAGAAUCUUUCUUCUAGAAAAAGAUUUCUACUAUAAAUAGUAACCGUACCUGAAACCGACACAGGUUCGUGGGUAGAGUAUACUAAGGCGUAGAGAUAAGGCUAGUGAAGGAACUCGGCAAAAUGCUUCUGUAAGUUCGACGAUAAAGAAGAAGUUAUAAUUUAGAAUCAUCUUAUGAUUCUUUUAUAACUUGUCACAAAAGUGAGGGCUUCGACUGUUUACUAAAAACAUAGCAACUUGCUAAGACGAAAAGUACUUGUAUAAGUUGUGAACUCUGUCCAAUGCCAUUUGUUUAAGGAAGGGAAUCUUCUUCCGGGAAGUGUUCCUGACUGAUGCGGUGGUGAAUGACGGUCUUAACUAUAAGGAUCUGAAAGUAGCGAAAUUCCUUGGCCAUUAAAUGUGGUCCUGCAUGAAUGAGGUAACGCGGCCCUGCUGUCUCCACUAGCUUCUCAGUGAAAUUGAAUUAGCCGUGCAGAUGCGGUUUGCCUUCCGGAGGACGCGAAGACCCUAUGCAGCUUUACUGUAUUCUGAUAUUGUUAUUCGUGAUAUAUAGUGUAGAAUACAAGGGAGUGUAACAUCCGUGAAAUACCUUGAUAUAUUGAAUUGAAUAACUUAUUUCUGCUAAGAAAGACAGUAUCAGAUGGUCAGUUUUACUGGGGCGGUAGCCUCUAAGAAAGUAUCAGAGGCCUUCAAAGGUAUACUUACAUUGGUCAGAAACCAAUAGAUAAUUGUAUCUAUCAAAAUGUAAUGAUAAAAGUAUGCUUUACUGAAAGAUUGAUAGAUCGAUCAGUUACGCAAGUAGGAUAUAGUGAUCCGAUGAUUCAGAAUGGAAUGAUCAUCGCUCAAGAAAUAAAAGUUACGCUAGGGAUAACAGGUUUAUCGUUUGCGAGAGUUCACAUUGUCCAAACGGUUUGACACCUCGAUGUCGACUCUUCUCAUCCUCCAGGUGUAGUAGCUUGGAAGGGUUCAGCUGUUCGCUGAGUAAAGAGGAACGUGAGUUGGGUUUAAUACGACGUGAGUCAGUAUAGAUUCUAUCCUCGGAAGGGAACAAGAAUAGAAGAAGAACCUCUAAUUUGUACGAAAGGACCGUUAGAGAGAAUUCCAUGGUGUAUCUAUUGUUGUAGAAAUAUGGCACAGUAGAGUAGCUACAAUUCUAAAAGAUAAAUACUGAAAGCAUAUCAAGUGUGAAACAGAUCUUCUGAUAUUCUCAAAUAAGAAAAAGACUAUUUCUAGUCUAGGAUGUGAAUGUAUGUUAAACAUUUCUAAUGUAUUGAUCAAACUUAAUUGUACCAUAUUGUUCACCUAUUUUU
rnacentral:rRNA from 1 species